GCGGCGGCGCGGCGGGCGCCGCGGGUGUGGAGGUCGGAGUCGCAGCGGUGCGCGCAGUGCUGGCAGCGAGGCUGAGUUCUCCAGAGGAGGAAAGGUGGAAUACAAAUGGUAGAAGGCCUACAAGAGGAAGGAAAUCUCUUCCCCCAAGUGAGAAAGCUGGAGUCCCUCCUAAAGCUAACUGCGUUUGAAGUGCUGGGCUACCUCUAGCAUCCUAGGACAGGGAGCGCAAACCACCCAAGAACCACCCUCCAUGCACACGGCAGCUGGGGGACACAGGUGGGUUUUC